ensembl:lncRNA
GUAUAUUAUCUACAUAUGCUCAUUUUUAGCAACAAUUACCUGCACUCCAGUGUUCUCUACUGCACGUUUAUGUUAUUAAAAUAAAAAACAACAGCUACAGUUGUAAUCAGAUUGUUUUUUUCUGUAGAUUUUUAGUAAACAUCCUCUAAUGUAGAAAUAGAUAGAGUCAAUCAAGUUUAAUGUAAAUCAUUGUUAGUGGAAUGCCAGACAGUUGCAAAGACAAAUGAGAUACAUAUUAUGCCAUUCAUUUCUUGACCUGAAUCAAGGAAUUUUCUCCAAAGCUAAGAUUUUCAGAACUUUCCAUACUAACAAAUGCUUAUAUGAUUAAAAAAAAACAUUAAGCAGGUUUACAGGUAAAGCUUUUCAGUGUAUCUGCUUGUGUAGUUUCUGUAACUAAAGGCAAUUAAAACAACUUAAAUGGUGCCCUGACUCAAUAAGAAUUCUUUUUUCAUCUUUUUUUAAUAUAUAGUUGCUCUUUUAUUUCUCAAAGCUCACACAAUAAUGCAUAAAACAUACAUUCACCACGGUCACCUAACUGAACAGUCCGUGAGUGCUUUACAUCCACUACCGAGCUAAUAGGCCCUCAGGAUGGUGUUUACGUUCACUUUCACUCAACUAUUAAGAUAUCAUGUUUCAGGAUUGGCAUUUAUAACGCAGCAGGCCAGUGCCUCUGUACAGCAGACUUACAGGGACGAAACAUUAGACUAUUGUGUUCCUUCUCCUCCAAAACAGUAAAACAGCUCGUUUUAUUCAGUCAAAUUGCUGAAGGGUGGAUUUACUCUCUCGCCUGUUGUACCAUAGAAAGAGGUAAAAAAAAAAUAAAAAAAAUAAAAACUUCUCCAAGCAUCGCAACAGCAUUUUCACCCACUCACUUCCCACCCUUAACAACAUCAAACACGCAAGAACGCUUUUAUAUGCAAAUACUUUUGCUACGUUCUGCAUUUUAAUACCAUGUAUAUUUGCUUCCCUAAAAACUGAAUGCAAAUUCCAAUCCAUCUGAUCGACAGCAUAUUUUAUGAAACAAUAUAAAUAAGCAGCAGACUUUACAUAUGCCAUAAGCAUCUUGAGCUUACUGUGCUGUAUGUAUGUGUGACUAUGUAUGAGAGUACGUCUUGUUUUGCAACUCAGUGCUGUAGUGCCAUCUAGUGGUUGUGAGCUGUAGCUGUUAAAAUCGCUUCUGGAGACACAAACGAACACUGGCACACAAAAACCUUUCUGUCCUCUCCGGUUUUUACUAGUCACGCAGUCUGGUUUCUGUCCAGCAAUCCACGAAGGGAUACUUUGGGAUCGUUUGGGCCCGAGCUGCCCUCUUAUGGAAGGUUAGACAGGACACAGGCAAACUAAACACCACCACCUCUUGCUCCCUUGGGGUGAAAUGAAAAACCGUUUCCUUCAAUCCUACUGGGACAUGAAAUGAAAUAGGUACGUGUGUGUGUGUAUCUGAGUGUGUGCAAAAGUGGAAGGUUGCACUACUACUGCCCAGAAGAUAACUCAUUAUUGUACUUAACAGUGACAAUCUAUUCCUCUG